GAGACUUUCAUUAUUACUGGUUCUGAGAUUCAUUUCGCCUCUGGCGAUUCUUCUUCUUUCUCUCUAAAAUCUGAGUGCCUCUUGACUUUCUCUUGAAUGAAAACUUUGAAUCUUCAACUUGAGAUCAUGUAUUACAAGUCUUGAGUGAUCUGUAGUUCAAUGAUUUCCUUUAAAGUUCUUGUGUGACCGAGUGCCUGUUGAGUUCGAGAGGGUUUCUUGUAAUCUUGAGUGAUAUUUGAGUUGUUGAGGUCAUUCUGUAAUUUGGACGGCAUUUCUG
rnacentral:lncRNA from 1 species